CGGCGAGUGAAGCGGCAAAAGCUCAAAUUUGAAAUCUGGCACCUUCGGUGUCCGAGUUGUAAUUUGAAGAAGGUAACUUUGGAGUUGGCUCUUGUCUAUGUUCCUUGGAACAGGACGUCACAGAGGGUGAGAAUCCCGUGCGAUGAGAUGCCCAACUCUAUGUAAAGUGCUUUCGAAGAGUCGAGUUGUUUGGGAAUGCAGCUCUAAGUGGGUGGUAAAUUCCAUCUAAAGCUAAAUAUUGGCGAGAGACCGAUAGCGAACAAGUACAGUGAUGGAAAGAUGAAAAGAACUUUGAAAAGAGAGUGAAAAAGUACGUGAAAUUGUUGAAAGGGAAGGGCUUGAGAUCAGACUUGGUAUUUUGCGAUCCUUUCCUUCUUGGUUGGGUUCCUCGCAGCUUACUGGGCCAGCAUCGGUUUGGAUGGUAGGAUAAUGACUAAGGA
rnacentral:rRNA from 1 species